AACGAACGCUGGCGGCAGGCCUAACACAUGCAAGUCGAGCGAGGACUUCGGUCCUAGCGGCGGACGGGUGAGUAACGCGUGGGAACGUGCCCUUUGCUUCGGAAUAGCCCUGGGGAAACUGGGAGUAAUACCGGAUGAGCCCUUUGGGGGAAAGAUUUAUCGGCGAAGGAUCGGCCCGCGUUGGAUUAGGUAGUUGGUGGGGUAAUGGCCUACCAAGCCGACGAUCCAUAGCUGGUUUGAGAGGAUGAUCAGCCACACUGGGACUGAGACACGGCCCAGACUCCUACGGGAGGCAGCAGUGGGGAAUCUUAGACAAUGGGGGAAACCCUGAUCUAGCCAUGCCGCGUGAGCGAUGAAGGCCUUAGGGUUGUAAAGCUCUUUCAGCUGGGAAGAUAAUGACGGUACCAGCAGAAGAAGCCCCGGCUAACUCCGUG
rnacentral:rRNA from 1 species